rnacentral:rRNA from 1 species
AGCUAUUAACUCACCGCUUUCCUCCCCACUGAAAGUGCUUUACAACCCUAGAGCCUUCUUCACACACGCGGCAUGGCUGCAUCAGGCUUUCGCCCAUUGUGCAAUAUUCCCC